ACCUCUAUAGUAUAAUAUAGUACAUAAAAUUGCAAAUUUUAAAGUUAUUAGAGG
rnacentral:tRNA from 1 species